GGGUCGGGGUUUCGUACGUAGCAGAGC
rnacentral:piRNA from 8 species